rnacentral:tRNA from 1 species
GCCGCCAUAGCUCAGUUGGUAGAGCAGUGCUUUUGUAAAGCACAGGUCCCCGGUUCGAGUCCGGGCGGCGGCU